CCUCUAAGCACCGCCCCCAGAAGAAGCCCUCAGUAAAACGGGAGAUAGUAGUAAACUGUUAACUUUGAGCGAGAGGGACUGUUCGCCCACGCUUUGGUAAAAUAUCACGCCAACCUCGUCCACAGCUGCUUUCCCCAAGCCAACGGAAUGGUGUGAAUGUCCUGCCGCGAGGAGAACGACUUUGAUAUCCGCAUCCACCGGAGCGACUUUCAACUUUUUGGAGACUCUGCAAUACGUCCGCUCGUGUUCAGGAGCUAACGCUUUGAACUCUGGGGCCUGAAGCUGACGUCCUGUGGACUGCUUCAUAGAGAGGGAAACCUUUGUGAAAAGCAAGAGAAAGACCUGUGCACCCGGCGUCUUCAUCCUGGAAGCUGCAGGAUAAUUACAAAAUGGCUAGAAGAUCCCCCAUUCCCUUGUUACUUCUAGCAAUAUGCUGCCUAGCAUCUGCAGGACCGUUAGACCCCUGGAGACAUCCUCUGCCACAGGGAGUCAACGGCGUAGCCUUCGCAUAGCCCCAUACCCUGUGCAGUAGCCUUCGCUGUAGCCUGACGUGCACCUCCUCAAAAUUGUA